GGGGUUGUGCCAUAAAUGUCGCGCGGCUUAUUGCCGGAUACCGUCGCCAGAUCGGCGCUACCGUGUACCAAGCCACGGUAUACUAGCCCACACUUUUGGCGGCAGCCGCCCAGUCUAAGGUCCAAACCCCGAACCGAACGGUCGCCCGAAAUACUUAGCGAACGAGCGUGGUUAGCAGUUCAGCGGAGUGGUAAAAUGGACGCACGAUUCAGAAGCAAUCUCGACAUGAUCGGACGCAACGAGCCUAUCACAAGGAAGGCGAAAUUUUGGCAGAGUUACGUACGGGCCUUGAAAGGUACCGACGAUAUCAGAGCUCCCGAGCACACUCACAGACCCCGCAGCAUUUUCCGCUCGGAAUUUCCUGAGCUGCAUUCCACCUCGUGGCCGUUUGGAAAGUCAAUCUUCGAAAACCCGAUUCACGCAGCCGACCGUAUCAAUGUUCCCGGAUACAGGUAUCUACCCGUGCAUCGUGAGAUUUACGGCUACUCGCCGAGGCAGCUGUAUCCCCAUCAGUACAAACCCGUAGAACGCUUCGUCCCCGCGAAAGCAUUCGACGCCGAGAAGGCCUGGACCGACCAUCUAAACCGUUUGGCGGACAUCGACAGGCUCUACCCGAGCAAAUCGCCGCUUCUGGCUCGCCACCUAAGUCCGCCGCUCACUACGAAACGAUUGUUCGACAUCUACGGUAAUCUCGUGGACGACGACUUCUUGUUGCCGCGUCCGUCCAUCUUGCUGCGCAAGAAGCCGUUUUUCGAUCUCCUGGAGCCAUCACCAAUGGCGCCCAUCAGCGCAUUCACCAGGGACCCGUGGUGGUACCCGAGCUACGCGCCUUACAUACCGAGCUACGCUCAAUACCGCACACCGUUUUACUUGAGGGACAGCUACCUCAGUCCGAUUAAGCGUAGCUAUCUGUGGAGCCGACAUCCCAUCAGGCCCUUCGACUGUGUUGUCGCUACAAGAAUGUUCUUAGAAACGUGUGGUAAUUAUUAAUUUAAUUACCGUGCCUCUACUCCGCUGAGGAGCUCCGCCGACAGAAUAUCGAACACGCGCUCACGUCUACUGAUGACUAUCCGGCGCCAUACGGAAAGAAACGAUGAAAAAAGGAAAAUAAUGCCCGAAAAAAGAAUCUACAAAAAAUGAUAGAGAGGAAACGUUCCGAAAGGGCUUUGGCGUCUCUUAUCAUAUUGUCCACGGAGUUUUAUUUAUUUAUUAACAUCUUCCGUCACAUGUUUUAUUGUACUAUUCAAUCGUGAUCUGUCUACGAAAUAAAAGAAACACUGCCAAAAUUUUACAA